rnacentral:rRNA from 1 species
GAUGAACGCUAGCGGGAGGCUUAAUACAUGCAAGUCGAGGGAGAAUUGGUCUUCGGACCGAGGAAACCGGCGCACGGGUGAGUAACACGUACACAACUUGCCCCUAACUGGGGAAUAGCCCUGGGAAACUGGGAUUAAUACCCCAUAAUAUUGACGCGUCUCAUGAAAUGUCAAUUAAAGUUCCGACGGUUAGGGAUGGGUGUGCGUCUGAUUAGCUAGUUGGUAGGGUAACGGCCUACCAAGGCGACGAUCAGUAGGGGGCGUGAGAGCGUGGUCCCCCACACGGGUACUGAGACACGGACCCGACUCCUACGGGAGGCAGCAGUAAGGAAUAUUGGACAAUGGAGGCAACUCUGAUCCAGCCAUCCCGCGUGCAGGAAGAAGGCCCUAUGGGUUGUAAACUGCUUUUGUCAGGGAAUAAACCUCUCGAUUCACUCGGGAGCUGAAGGUACCUGAAGAAUAAGCACCGGCUAACUCCGUGCCAGCCGCCGCCGUAACAC